rnacentral:rRNA from 1 species
GACGAACGCUGGCGGCGUGCUUAACACAUGCAAGUCGAACGGAAAGGCCCUGCUUUUGUGGGGUGCUCGAGUGGCGAACGGGUGAGUAACACGUGAGUAACCUGCCCUUGACUUUGGGAUAACUUCAGGAAACUGGGGCUAAUACCGGAUAGGAGCUCCUGCUGCAUGGUGGGGGUUGGAAAGUUUCGGCGGUUGGGGAUGGACUCGCGGCUUAUCAGCUUGUUGGUGGGGUAGUGGCUUACCAAGGCUUUGACGGGUAGCCGGCCUGAGAGGGUGACCGGCCACAUUGGGACUGAGAUACGGCCCAGACUCCUACGGGAGGCAGCAGUGGGGAAUAUUGCACAAUGGGAGGAAGUCUGAUGCAGCAACGCCGCGUGCGGGAUGACGGCCUUCGGGUUGUAAACCGCUUUCGCCUGUGACGAAGCGUGAGUGACGGUACUGGGUAAAGAAGCACCGGCUAACUACGUG